GCGGAUGUGGCGGAAUUGGUAGACGCGCUAGACUUAGGAUCUAGUGCCGCAAGGUGUGAGAGUUCGAGUCUCUUCAUCCGCA
rnacentral:tRNA from 1 species